GGGGUUGUGGCUCAGAGGUAGAGCACUCACCUUACAUGUGAGAGGCACCGGGUUCCAUACUCAGCACCA
rnacentral:tRNA from 1 species